GCCACCAUAGCAGCCUGAGUUAGGCAAGAAUGGGGAAUGUUCGAGAAAGAGAAAAGCAAAAAUCAAACAGCACCUCCCCAUUUCUGCAUGUCCUGCUCAGUGAGGGAGGUCCUGAACGAGAGGCUGGGAAGGCAGGCAGACUGUGUUAAGACAGAGCACCGCUGGAGAAUCUGUUCCCUGGAGCACAGCUGUCUACUCCAUAAUGCUGCCACACGGAAAGCUCCGGCUAACUCCGCUGCCCCGGCUCAGCACAGGAUGGCCUCACUAGUACCACACCUGACUCCGCAGGGAGCUGCUGGGCCUGGGGCCUCUUGAUUUCUCGAUAACCACCCUUUUAACAAGUCUCCCGCUCUGCUUUCCGAGCUGCAGCAGGUGUUAAGCAGCGGGCUCAGAGGGGCGGGGAGAGCAAGCCCUCUCUCAGCUGACAUUUUCAGCAGACCCAGCAGGAACACUCAAAGGGAUGAAGUGGAAUUUUUCCAUCUUGCAGUUUCUGGCAACAAAGAAGGGAUCCUGAAAGGCUGAGACCUUUUGUUGCCUAAACUGUCCCUGGAGAGGGCGAAUGCAUACCUGCUCACCUCAGAUAGGAUGCCAGUGGUACCAAAGGAUUCCACCUAACUCUGGUGAACUAAUGAAGAGAAACCAAACAGAAGACUCCAGCCUUCUGGAAUAUGCAGAUGGUGUGGCAAAGGCUGAUAUUGUACUAAUGAAUGCAGAUCAACACAGGACAGGCAAGUUCCGGAAGGAGAGCCCAUCACUGCAGGGGAGGCUCAGCAGCAGAGAGAUCACAUCUUCACCCAUGAAGCAGAGUGGAUUGGAGUGAGUGUAGACGACAGCUGGAAAGGAAGUCCGCCUACUGGGAGAGAAUGCACUCCUCAUGCGAUGGAAGAUCUGGGAAAGAGUUAGUUCUCACUGUGAAUCAAUCCACGUGCUGGAAUUUGGGUUUUACACAGCAGCCGGUUUGUUCAGUAAAUGUGGGUUCCCUCCUGAGAAAGCCAGCUGCCUCUCAAUGGGCUCCACACACGAUGGCAAAGAUCC